GCUCGGUGAGGGGGAGCAGGCCCCAGGCUCUGGGCCAGGCCACGUGGUCCUUCCUGAGCAGAGGGCUGGGAGCAAGCAGUGAGGGAGGACUCUUGUCCCACUAAGGGACCCAAUUUAGGAGGGCGCCAGGUGGUCUUGGAGGAGGCCUCUUCCAGAAGAUGGCCCUCUACAAUGGGAACACGACGGUCUAUCUGUUUAUUCCAUCUUCCUUCUAGGUAACAAUCGCAAAUUUAAAAAUGACAGAAAUGGCUCCAGUGAAGGAUUCUGUCACUAGUAAAGAGAAGAUUUAAAAACAGCCCUGAGGUCACAGCAACUUCGAGUUCCCAAGCCUUGCUCUGUCCAUUUACCCGGCACUAUGGUUUGAAAAUCCAGCUGGGCUGCUUUGUGAACACUGACUUGCUUUCACUGCCGUCUGGUGCUCCAUGGGACACAGCCAGCGCCACCCCUGCCUUUGGCCCCUCCACUCUUCCGGGAAGAGACGCGCCACUGUACCCUACGCCCCUCCCACAGCCCCUGCGGCCCGUGGGGGGCUCUUACCGUGCUGCAGAGCCAGGCUGACCUUUCCCCCCAGCUCCACCGCAGACGCACGGCGGCCGGGCUCUUUCCUCAGCCCCUCCUGGAUGGCCUGGGCGAAACUGCUCAGAGGCCCGGGAGGGCUGAGGCCACAGGCUGGGAGCACAGCUAUCCAGAAAAGGCCGCACAAGAGGGUUGGAGCCGUGGGAGCUCCGCGGCAGAAGACCUGGGACAAGGCAGCCAGCCUUUCUGUUCCCUCUUCUGUGUAGCAGGAAUCUCAGAAACGUGAGCAUCCGAUCCUUGCUCCUAUGUUUAAGCAUAAGAGAAGCUUUCUAGAGUCGUUGAGGGGCUGAAAUAUAAUGGUGGACAAAAAGUGCUCACGUCUCGGACUGCUGUUAUGGAAAGCCCGGGAGAAGACAUGGGGCUAAUGCUGAGUCAAGGCUGGGGAUGAUCAUUCUGGGGAGGGCGG